rnacentral:rRNA from 1 species
CAGGCCUAACACAUGCAAGUCGAGCGCCCCGCAAGGGGAGCGGCGGACGGGUGAGUAACGCGUGGGAACGUACCCUUUGCUACGGAAUAGCCUCGGGAAACUGGGAGUAAUACCGUAUGUGCCCUUCGGGGGAAAGAUUUAUCGGCAAAGGAUCGGCCCGCGUUGGAUUAGGUAGUUGGUGGGGUAAUGGCCUACCAAGCCGACGAUCCAUAGCUGGUUUGAGAGGAUGAUCAGCCACACUGGGACUGAGACACGGCCCAGACUCCUACGGGAGGCAGCAGUGGGGAAUCUUAGACAAUGGGCGCAAGCCUGAUCUAGCCAUGCCGCGUGAGCGAUGAAGGCCUUAGGGUUGUAAAGCUCUUUCAGUGGGGAAGAUAAUGACUGUACCCACAGAAGAAGCCCCGGCUAACUCCGUG